UUACGUCCAUUUCAGGUUGAAACACCUGUUCCCGUACGAUCGCCGAUUUUAAGCAACAUCGCACCUGGUCAGUACCUAGAUGGGUGACGGCUUGAGAAUACCAGAUGCUGG